rnacentral:misc_RNA from 1 species
AAGUCGUAACAAGGUUUCUCUCGCAGAACACCUGCAGAAGCCUUGGAUACAAGUCUACCUUCGUAGGCAACAUCUUCACUGUGCUUGGAUACCGUCAGGGUAACAUGCAGCUGCGUAUAGCAGUCCACAGAUCAAAUGAAGGUGGUCCGAGGAGGGUCAACCUUCUUGGAUUCAGAUAUGACCGGCCUACCUCUGAAAAGGUUGUAGACUAUAGUGUUCCGUAGGUGAACCUGCGGAAGGAUCAUUACAGAGAAAUUGCCCUUCGGGGUAGAUCUCCCACCCUUUGUUUAUAUUACCUCU